AUCAAUUCUUGGCCUUUUGGCUAAGAUCAAGUGUAGUAUCUGUUCUUAUCAGUUUAAUAUCUGAUAUUUCCUCUAUCUGAGGACAACAUAUUCAUUGGUUUUUGGAACAGGGAGAUGGAAUGGGAGCUCUGUCCACUCCAUGCAUCAACCCGGCAUUGCAGUACUUCUAGGAAAGUUGUACCCCUU